AGUGUACGCUGGCGGUAGGCCUAACACAUGCAAGUCGAACGGCAGCCCAGGAGAGCUUGCUCUCUGGGUGGCGAGUGGCGGACGGGUGAGGAAUACAUCGGAAUCUACUCUGUCGUGGGGGAUAACGUAGGGAAACUUACGCUAAUACCGCAUACGACCUACGGGUGAAAGCAGGGGAUCUUCGGACCUUGCGCGAUUGAAUGAGCCGAUGUCGGAUUAGCUAGUUGGCGGGGUAAAGGCCCACCAAGGCGACGAUCCGUAGCUGGUCUGAGAGGAUGACCAGCCACACUGGAACUGAGACACGGUCCAGACUCCUACGGGAGGCAGCAGUGGGGAAUAUUGGACAAUGGGCGCAAGCCUGAUCCAGCCAUACCGCGUGGGUGAAGAAGGCCUUCGGGUUGUAAAGCCCUUUUGUUGGGAAAGAAAUCCAGCUGGCUAAUACCCGGUUGGGGUGACGGUACCCAAAGAAUAAGCACCGGCUAACUUCGUGCCAGCAGCCGCCGUAA
rnacentral:rRNA from 1 species